GAUGAAGAACGCAGCGAAAUGCGAUAAGUAAUGUGAAUUGCAGAAUUAAGUGAAUCAUCGAAUCUUUGAACGCACAUUGCGCCCGUCAGUAUUCUGGCGGGCAUGCCUGUUCGAGCGUCAUUACGACCCUCAAGUCCCCUGUGGACUUGGUGUUGGGGAUCGGCGAGGCUGGUUUUCCAGCACAGCCGUCCCUUAAAUUAAUUGGCGGUCUCGCCGUGGCCCUCCUCUGCGCAGUAGUAAAACACUCGCAACAGGAGCCCGGCGCGGUCCACUGCCGUAAAACCCCCCAACUUUUUAUAGUUGACCUCGAAUCAGGUAGGACUACCCGCUGAACUUAAGCAUAUCAAUAAGCGGAGGA
rnacentral:misc_RNA from 1 species